rnacentral:misc_RNA from 1 species
UUUCCGUAGGUGAACCUGCGGAAGGAUCAUUAUUGUAUAACCGAGGUGCGAGCGCUUUCGGUGACUUGAUACGUCGUGCACGCCCGAGUCCCCUCCCACACAUCCAUCCCACCCCUUCGUAGAACCCCGGGUCGGACCCCCUCAGGCUUCUUCGGGGGGUGGCUUACGUUUUCACACAAACUAUGUCUGCAGUCUUGGAUUUAUUUUUUGUUUUUGCGAUCACGCAACCAAUACAACUUUCAAUGACGGAUCUCUUUGCUCUCGCAUCGAUUAAGAACG